CUAAAGCCUCCUCAGACUAUUUGCUGAAAUGAAAUAUUUUCAGAAUACAGGCAGGACUGAACCUUUUAUUCUUCCUUAGGGAUAAGGACAAGGAAAACUUCAGCUCAGAUGUGGACACCUACGAAGCACUGGCAAGGGAAUGGAAUAUUUAGCCUUUCAGAGCAUCUCAGUAGAAUACCAUCUUUGAGCUGCAGUGAGUCAAUGAGGAUCUGCUUCUCCACUGGACAACAAAAUUAGGUUUUGCAGGCCAUUCUGAGCACUACGCUUAUGGACGUGGUUAUGCUGUUCCCAGACACUGACCUGACUGAAGCAGCGGGAGCUGAACACGCCUGCAAGUCUCUAGCUGCCUUCUGGCCACGGUGUGGGUGUCUGGGAAGGCUGCAGCUGCAGCAGAAGUGGAAGCACAUGGGAAAAUGACUCACCUCCCAGGGGCUAGGCAUGGAUUUUCAACCCAGCAGAGCACAGGAAAUAUGACAUGAAGGUGGAGCGUUGUGCUACUCGAGGAACAAAAUGUCAUGGCAAAUAACUGCUUCGAGUCUGGCCUAUUCUUUAACAGACUUGUAGGCUGUGAAGAUCCAGAGUACAAGCCUUUACUCUGGGAACCAUUGCCAAGGAGAUGAUUAUUCAUUAAUGAUAUAAUCUUUGACCUGGAAGCCCUGUGCUCUGAGCACAGCCUGUGAAGCAACAGGGCCCUGGGGACAACCACACGUGUGUUCGAAGUCCAGCGCUGCAGGGAGUGAAAAGAGCAGCCAGUCACUGAAGAAAGAGUGAAUAACUCUCUCUGCCCGCCUGCUUUAGUGAGGACACGUUUACCAGGUGCCUCAUGAGGGACUCGAGGAAAAUACCAGAGACACCCAACUCAUUUCAUUUUGAAAACUGUGAAGGAAGAUGGUAGCUGUAGGUACCAGGAAUGUGCUGUCAUUGAAAUACAGUCCCAGUGUUUCUCAGCCUGCUCAUCCUGUGCAGUCUGUGAGAACCAGGGCACAGGGGCAAUGUAAAGUUGGAGCUGGAGAUGCCAGGGCCUGCAGCUGCCUUAGCUCAGGGUCAGCCCACAGCACACGGCUGCCUCAGGGCCCCUGGGGGCCCAGGAAGCUCCAGGUGCAAAUGUGUCUGCGUUGCACAGCUCGGACUCUGGACACACAGAGAAGCCUGUGGUCCCACAGCUUUGCAGAUAAACCACUUCUGGACUAAAAAAGAAAAACAAGAUAAACUGUUGGAGAGCUCUCAGCUGGGUCCUUGCAUGUGGUCUUAUGUGCUGAAAAGAGAGGAUGCCAAAAGAGUUCAGAUCAACAACACAGGGAAUUUGUUUACUAUUCUGUGGACUAACAUCAAGAUGUUUCAAUCAAUC
ensembl:lncRNA